AAGCGUCCUCAACGAUGGACCGGGCCCAAGUUCCCUGGAAAGGGGUGCCAGAGAGGGUGAGAGACCCGUCGUGCUCGGACCCUGUCGCACCACGAGGCUCUGUCUACGAGUCGGGUUGUUUGGGAAUGCAACCCCAAUCGGGCGGUAAAUUCCGUCCAAGGCUAAAUAUGGGCGAGAGACCGAUGGCGAACAAGUACCGCGAGGUAAAGAUGAAAAAGACUUUGAAAAGAGAGUCAAAGAGUGCUUGAAAUUGUCGGGAGGGAAACGGAUGGGGGCCAGUGAUUCAUCCCGGUCGGAUGCCGGAACCGGAGCAAUCCGGUCCGCCGAUCGAUUCGGGGCGUGGACCGACGCGGAUUAAGGUGGUGACCUAAGCCCGGGCUUUUGUUACGCCUGCGGAGACGUCGCUGCCUUAAUCGUGGUCUGCAGCACGCGCCUCACGGCGUGCCUCGGCAUCUGCGUGCUCAGGGCGUCGGCCUGUGGGCUACCCAUUCGACCUAUCUUGAAACAUGGACCCAAGGAGUCUGACAUGUGUGCGAAUGAACGGGUGAGUAAACUCGUAAGGCGCAAGGAAGCUGAUUGGCUGGAUUCCUGACGGGUGCACAGCCGACCGACCUUGAUCUUCUAAGAAGGGUUCGAGUGUGAGCCUGCCUGUCGGGACCCGAAAGAUGGUGAACUAUGCCUGAGCGUGGCGAAGCCAGAGGAGACUCUGCUGGAGGCCCGCAGCGAUACUGACGUGCAAAUCGUUCGUCUGACUUGGGUAUAGGGGAGAAAGACUAAUCGAACCAUCUAUAGCUGGUUCCCUCCGAAGUUUCCCUCAGGAUAGUUGGAGCUCGGAAAUGAGUUCUAUCGGGUAAAGCCAAUGAUUAGAGGCAUCGAGG
rnacentral:rRNA from 1 species